rnacentral:lncRNA from 1 species
AAAAGCAUCAGCCUAUAUUUCACAACCUUACCCAAGAAAAGCGGCAAUGUUGAGCAGUUGGAGAGGCCCUGACAGGUCCAGACAGCCAAAACUCUGUGACCCGAGGCAACCCAAGGCUGGAGUUCCUCCUUCAGGCAGGCAGCCAAGACCCACCACCCUUCAUAAGGCUCUGUGGAUCAUACAGCAGGGGCUCCAAAGUGGCUGAGCAGGCCAGAAAAUCUUCCAGGAUGAGCAGAGCGGUCUGAAAUCCUGAAGGCAGAAACAUCAGCUUCACUGCCACCUACCCUCCCCAGGCCAGAGGCCCAGAAGCCAGCAGCAGGGGCGCUGAGGCCUCAUAGUAGCCCUGCGGGUAAGGGAAGCACCCUGGAGGCUGCUAGAAGCCCACGACUCUGCGUUGCGCGUGCGCACUCGCCCUGGUGUGCCUAGUGGUGCUUCUGCUGCCGGACGGGGUCGUGGGGGAGGAGCUGCAAGGACCACAGCAUCUGAUGCUCCGGGUCGCGCGAUGGCUGUCCAACUUAGGCCAGUUCAACAAGUACAUAGAGAAGUUCUUCAAUAGCAGCAUGAAAUCCAAGAACACCAAGAACUCUAGUGACGCGAGCAACCCCAGGAAUAAUACGAAACCCCUAUCAGCGAACGCGAGGAAACCUCUGCCAGCGAACGCGACGAAACCUCUGCCAGCGAACACGACGAAACUCACCGGACCGAAAACCACGAGCCCCCAGCCGCUGAACGCCGCGAAACCCCAACCACCAGCCUCCUCCCAGGGCCCCAGGUAGGAGAGCCUGGGCCCGGCUGGCCCCAGUCGGGGUCCUCGAAACUGGGAGCAGGUUGGGCGGUAGCGAAAGGAAGCCCUGGAGGCUUGGGGGACCCAGGGGAUUCCCGGGGACUUCCUUCUUCAGGCUGAGCUUUGACUUCCGAAGCUCAACCAAGUCUCCCCGCCCACCGACCCUCUUUAUACUAUGAGAGGGGGCCUAACUCCUGCCCAGCCCGCCCUCAGUGAGAACAAUAAAGAGAAACGGAAUCUCUGUUGCUUCCUUGAC